rnacentral:rRNA from 1 species
GAUGAACGCUAGCUACAGGCUUAACACAUGCAAGUCGAGGGGCAGCAUGGUCUUAGCUUGCUAAGACUGAUGGCGACCGGCGCACGGGUGAGUAACACGUAUCCAACCUGCCGUCUACUCUUGGACAGCCUUCUGAAAGGAAGAUUAAUACAAGAUGGCAUCAUGAGUCCGCAUGUUCACAUGAUUAAAGGUAUUCCGGUAGACGAUGGGGAUGCGUUCCAUUAGAUAGUAGGCGGGGUAACGGCCCACCUAGUCUUCGAUGGAUAGGGGUUCUGAGAGGAAGGUCCCCCACAUUGGAACUGAGACACGGUCCAAACUCCUACGGGAGGCAGCAGUGAGGAAUAUUGGUCAAUGGGCGAGAGCCUGAACCAGCCAAGUAGCGUGAAGGAUGACUGCCCUAUGGGUUGUAAACUUCUUUUAUAAAGGAAUAAAGUCGGGUAUGCAUACCCGUUUGCAUGUACUUUAUGAAUAAGGAUCGGCUAACUCCGUGCCAGCAGCCGCGGUAAUACGGAGGAUCCGAGCGUUAUCCGGAUUUAUUGGGUUUAAAGGGAGCGUAGAUGGAUGUUUAAGUCAGUUGUGAAAGUUUGCGGCUCAACCGUAAAAUUGCAGUUGAUACUGGAUAUCUUGAGUGCAGUUGAGGCAGGCGGAAUUCGUGGUGUAGCGGUGAAAUGCUUAGAUAUCACGAAGAACUCCGAUUGCGAAGGCAGCCUGCUAAGCUGCAACUGACAUUGAGGCUCGAAAGUGUGGGUAUCAAACAGGAUUAGAUACCCUGGUAGUCCACACGGUAAACGAUGAAUACUCGCUGUUUGCGAUAUACGGCAAGUGGCCAAGCGAAAGCGUUAAGUAUUCCACCUGGGGAGUACGCCGGCAACGGUGAAACUCAAAGGAAUUGACGGGGGCCCGCACAAGCGGAGGAACAUGUGGUUUAAUUCGAUGAUACGCGAGGAACCUUACCCGGGCUUAAAUUGCAGAUGAAUUACGGUGAAAGCCGUAAGCCGCAAGGCAUCUGUGAAGGUGCUGCAUGGUUGUCGUCAGCUCGUGCCGUGAGGUGUCGGCUUAAGUGCCAUAACGAGCGCAACCCUUGUUGUCAGUUACUAACAGGUUCCGCUGAGGACUCUGACAAGACUGCCAUCGUAAGAUGUGAGGAAGGUGGGGAUGACGUCAAAUCAGCACGGCCCUUACGUCCGGGGCUACACACGUGUUACAAUGGGGGGUACAGAGGGCCGCUACCACGCGAGUGGAUGCCAAUCCCCAAAACCUCUCUCAGUUCGGACUGGAGUCUGCAACCCGACUCCACGAAGCUGGAUUCGCUAGUAAUCGCGCAUCAGCCACGGCGCGGUGAAUACGUUCCCGGGCCUUGUACACACCGCCCGUCAAGCCAUGAAAGCCGGGGGUACCUGAAGUACGUAACCGCAAGGAGCGUCCUAGGGUAAAACUGGUAA